CUAUGGUCGUAGGUUCCUACAAUACUUUUGCACAAAACAUCUCAACCUGUUAUGCCCACCUCUGAAAGUCUAAAAACUUCUAUUUGCAAGCGUAUGUAAACCCUUGUUUUCUUCACAUAGAUUGGUUUGCUUUUGAAACUUCAUCUUGUGUGUUAGUGUCUGUUUCAUCGGGUACACCAAGGCCUUGGGUAAUAAACUUUGGUUGGACAGAACCAAAAAGUCCAUGGCAUAAGGAGGGUGGUUUCCUCUGGGUAUAGUGAUCACUAAGAAAAGUUCCAACACUAUGCCAUUUUUAUUUCAC